UACAGGGGGUGCAAACGUCGCUCGGAAUUAUUGGGCGUAAAGCGCGCGUAGGCGGCUACUUAUGUCGGAUGUGAAAGCCCCUGGCUCAACUGGGGAAGUGCACCCGAAACUGAGUAGCUGGAGUACGAAAGAGGGUCGCGGAAUUCCCGGUGUAGAGGUGAAAUUCGUAGAUAUCGGGAGGAACACCGGUGGCGAAGGCGGCGACCUGGGUCGAUACUGACGCUGAUGCGCGAAAGCGUGGGGAGCAAACAGG
rnacentral:rRNA from 1 species